rnacentral:rRNA from 1 species
ACAUUUCCAAGCUAUAACGGGAGUGAACGGCAACAGCUCAAAUUUGAAAUCUGGCUCUUUUGGAGUCCGAGUUGUAAUUUGCAGAGGGCGCUUUGGCUUUGGCAGCGGUCCAAGUUCCUUGGAACAGGACGUCACAGAGGGUGAGAAUCCCGUACGUGGUCGCUGGCUAUUGCCGUGUAAAGCCCCUUCGACGAGUCGAGUUGUUUGGGAAUGCAGCUCUAAAUGGGAGGUACAUUUCUUCUAAAGCUAAAUAUUGGCCAGAGACCGAUAGCGCACAAGUAGAGUGAUCGAAAGAUGAAAAGCACUUUGGAAAGAGAGUCAAACAGCACGUGAAAUUGUUGAAAGGGAAGCGCUUGCAGCCAGACUUGCUUACAGUUGCUCAUCCGGGUUUCUACCCGGUGCACUCUUCUGUAGGCAGGCCAGCAUCAGUUUGGGCGGUAGGAUAAAGGUCUCUGUCACGUACCUCCUUUCGGGGAGGCUUAUAGGGGAGACGACAUACUACCAGCCUGGACUGAGGUCCGCGCAUCUGCUAGGAUGCUGGCGUAAUGGCUGUAAGCGGCCCGUCUUGAAACACGGACCAAGGAGUCUAACAUCUAUCGAGUGUUUGGGUGUCAAGCCCCAGCGCGUAAUGAAAGUGAACGGAGGUGGGAACCCCCAAGGGUGCACCAUCGACCGAUCCUGAUGUCUUCGGAAGGAUUUGAGUAAGAACAUUGCUGUUGGGACCCGAAAGAUGGUGAACUAUGCUUGAAUAGGGGGGAAGCAGAAGAAACUCUGGUGGAGGCUCGCAGCGGUUCUGACGUGCAAAUCGAUCGUCAAAUUUGGGCAUAGGGGCGAAAGACUAAUCGAACUUUCUA